CUCCCCCACUUCAAACUAAAUGGAUUUUGGAGAGCAAAGACCACCAUUUCCACUUAGUUGCUGGUAACCAAAUAAACAGGGGGAGAGAAAACAUUUGUGUAGUUCAAUUUGAAUGAGAAAAAUCUACUCCCAUGGCCGUCUUUAUCAUGUUUUUCGGCUAAUUACAGUAAAAAAGAAGCAGACCAGCUCUGGCGAACGUUGAGUCAUCUCGAGAAAAGCUACAGUGAUCGGCGAUGCAUGGGUCUCGAUAUUAGCAACCGGAUUUUAGCAUUAAAUGCUGAUGGAAAUAUGAAUUUGAUGGUGGCGUGGAAACCCAUUUUCAACUUUUUUCAGGUGGACUAGCUUGCCUAGGUAAUAAAUUAUCUUUUUGUUAGUUUCUUUUUUUCUUCUUUUUUUUUUUUUUUUGGUUUUCAUACUUUGAUUCACUGCCAGAAUAUAUAUCUACUCAUAUGUUAAAACGGGUCAACCCAUUAGUGGCCCAAACCUUUUUUAGAGCCCAAACCAUUUUAACAAAUGAAGCUAUUAUAGUGGGCUGCCAUUUACAAUAAGAAAAUAUAUAUAUAUUGGGUACAAUAAGAAAAUAUAUAUAAAUUGGGCUCAAAGAUUUAUCUUCCCUUGGCCCAUAACUUUUUCAAUUACAUUAAAACAUUUGAGCUUGCUGGGCACGUGAGUUUGCUGAAAUUAUCAUGGAAGGAUGACUUCGGCCCUCUGCCCUUUUACUUCGACUCUCCCACUUCGGCUUCUUCUUAAUUAGCUGCAAAUUGACACCAUAUUUCUUCAGUUUGACACAAUUAUUACCUCCCUCGAAUGAGAGCGUGCCAUCCUCCUAGGCUUUGAGCCAGGGCAUCGAGUUCUUCUAGUUCUUCUAGUUUUUUUUUUUUUUUUUUUUUUUUUUUUUGAAGAGGCUAGCACUUUGGCUGGGUGUUCUUUCUUGCCUCCAUUUUGGCCUGCCAAUUAUUCCAAAUCACAUGGGAAAAGGGCAAAAAUACUUGACUUGGAGAAUUAAAAAUAAAAAGACUAGAAGAAGAGGGCUUCAAACUCAUGGUCAUCAGUCCACCAUUUCAAUUUGUUCACUCGAGCUAUCUCCUUCAGACCAU
rnacentral:lncRNA from 1 species